GGUGAUAGAACAGAUAACCCCUUAGGCCCCUAGGCACAAUAGAGAAAGUACCAUGAGGGAAAGUUGAAAGAUUCCAUCCUGUAAGUGAUAAAAAGCAAAGCUUUCCCCUUCUACCUUUUGCAUAAUGAUUUAGCUAGUCAAACCUGACAAAACGAAUUAAAGCCCGUCUUCCCGAAAUUAAGUAAGCUAUUGUAGAACAGUUGACAGAACGAACUCGUCUGUGUAGCAAAACAGUGAGAUGAUUUUACAAUAGAGGUGAAAAGCCUAUCGAACUUAAUGAUAGCUGGUUGUCCAAGAAACGGAUUUAAGUUCGACUUUAAAUUUAACUUAAGUACUAACAAACAUCAUUUAAAUUUAAAUGUUAACUCAAAAGAGGGACAACUCUUUUAGAUAUGUAGACAAACUUUUACUAGUAGGAUAAU
rnacentral:ncRNA from 1 species